rnacentral:miRNA from 10 species
ACAAUCUAUUUUAGGUUGGUACAAAAGUAAUUGCGGUUUUUGCCAUUAAAAACUAUUGCAAAAACCAUAAUUACUUUU